AGCUGCACUGUGGCCCGGGACUCGGAGGCGCGCUGCGCGAGCCGGCCGCAAAACCAUGGCGGGCGGGGAAGACCGCGGGGACGGAGAGCCGGUAUCAGUGGUGACCGUGAGGGUGCAGUACCUGGAAGACACCGACCCCUUCGCAUGUGCCAACUUCCCGGAGCCGCGCCGGGCCCCCACCUGCAGCCUGGACGGGGCGCUGCCCUUGGGCGCGCAGAUACCCGCGGUGCACCGCCUGCUGGGAGCGCCGCUCAAGUUGGAGGAUUGUGCUCUGCAAGUGUCUCCCUCUGGAUACUACCUGGACCCCGAACUGUCCCUGGAAGAGCAGCGGGAGAUGCUGGAGGGCUUCUAUGAAGAGAUCAGCAAAGGGCGGAAGCCCACGCUGAUCCUUCGGACCCAGCUCUCUGUGAGGGUCAACGCUAUCUUGGGUGAGUGUGUGAGAGCAUCCAUGUCCAGCAGCACCUCCUCCCUAUAGCCCAGUUGGCUCACCUUCAGGCCUGUGCUGAACAGUGAGCAAAGUAGGUUUAGCUGGAUGUGCUCCUUCCUCUCCCUAUCCUGACCUCUUCUUCCAGGGCCACGGUGGGAGUGGAGGGGGAGUCAAGAAUGUUAGAACAGACCAGGCGUGGUAGCUCAUGCCUGCAAUGCCAGUGCUUUGAGAGGCCAAGGUGGGAGACUUGCUUGAGGCUAGGAGUUUGAGGCUGCAGUGAGCUAUGACUGUGCCACUGCACUCCACACUCCAGCCUGAGUGACAGAGUGAGACCCUGUCUCUUAGACUGUUCUUUGGUGGAGAGUUGUGGUUGUAUCCAAGCAGAGAAAGACAGUGAGUCUGUGUCCCAUUGAGGGUUUUAUACCCUACCUUUUGCAGAAAAGCUGUAUAGCUCCAGUGGUCCUGAGCUCCGCCGCUCCCUCUUCUCACUGAAGCAGAUCUUCCAGGUGAGGCCCCGCAGUGGGCUGGGGGUAAGUGUGUAGCCCAAGCUUCCCUAAACUCCCCCAUGGUGCCUCCAGGAGGACAAAGACCUGGUGCCUGAAUUCGUGCAUUCAGAGGGGCUGAGCUGCCUGAUCCGUGUGGGUGCUGCUGCCGACCACAACUACCAGAGUUACAUCCUUAGAGGUCAGCCCCGCCCCUCUCCCAUGACCUCUGCUCCAGCGACCCUUGCUGACUCUGCCCGUCCCUGUUUCCCCAGCGCUCGGCCAGCUGAUGCUCUUUGUGGAUGGAAUGCUGGGGGUGGUGGCCCACAGUGAGACUAUUCAGUGGCUGUACACAUUGUGUGCCAGCCUGUCCCGCUUGGUGGUGAAGACAGCCCUGAAGCUGCUGUUGGUGUUUGUAGAAUACUCUGAAAACAACGCACCGCUGUUCAUCCGUGCAGUGAACUCUGUGGCCAGCACCACCGGUGCUCUUCCCUGGGCCAAUCUGGUGUCCAUCCUGGAGGAGAAGAAUGGCGCUGACCCUGAGUUGUUGGUGUACACGGUCACCCUCAUCAACAAGACGCUGGCGGCGCUCCCGGACCAGGACUCCUUCUACGAUGUGACGGAUGCACUGGAGCAGCAGGGCAUGGAAGCGCUGGUCCAGCGCCACCUGGGCACUGCGGGCACUGACGUUGACCUGCGCACGCAGCUUGUGCUCUACGAGAAUGCCCUGAAAUUGGAGGAUGGAGACAUCGAAGAAGCCCCAGGAGCUGGUGGGCGGCGGGAACGACGAAAGCCUUCCGAGGAGGGCAAGAGGAGCCGCCGUUCUCUGGAAGGCGGGGGCUGCCCCGCGCGUGCCCCGGAACCUGGCCCCACAGGCCCCGCCUCACCGGUAGGCCCCACCUCUUCCACCGGCCCCGCCCUGUUGACAGGCCCCGCCUCCAGCCCUGUGGGUCCUUCCUUCGGUCUCCAAGCUUCAGUGAACCUUUUUCCUACCAUCUCUGUGGCACCCUCAGCUGACACCUCCAGCGAGAGGAGCAUCUACAAAGCCCGGUUCCUGGAGAAUGUGGCGGCAGCAGAAACAGAGAAGCAGGUUGCGCUGGCCCAGGGCCGGGCAGAGACACUUGCCGGGGCCAUGCCCAAUGAGGCGGCUGGACACCCAGAUGCUCGGCAACUCUGGGACUCCCCAGAGACAGCCCCUGCACCCAGAACACCCCAGAGCCCUUCCCCCUGUGUCCUGCUCCGGGCCCAGCGAAGCCUUGAGCCAGAGCCCAAGGAGCCACUGAUACCAGCAAGCCCCAAGGCUGAGCCCAUCUGGGAGCUCCCUACCCGUGCACCCAAGCUCUCUAUUGGGGACCUGGACUUUUCAGAUCUAGGGGAGGAUGAAGACCAGGACAUGCUGAAUGUAGAGUCUGUGGAGGCUGGGAAAGAGGUCCCAGCUCCCUCACCCCCACUGCCCCUGCUCUCGGGAGUCCCCCCACCUCCCCCACUUCCACCUCCCCCACCCAUCAAAGGCCCCUUCCCACCACCUCCACCUCUACCUCUGGCUGCCCCUCUUCCCCAUUCAGUGCCUGACAGCUUAGCCCUCCCCACCAAGAGGAAGACGGUAAAACUUUUCUGGCGUGAGCUAAAGCUGGCUGGGGGCCAUGGAGUCUCUGCAAGCCGCUUUGGGCCCUGCGCCACCCUCUGGGCUUCACUGGAGCCUGUCUCAGUGGACACGGCCCGGCUGGAACACCUCUUUGAGUCUCGUGCCAAAGAGGUGCUGCCCUCCAAGAAAGCUGGAGAGGGCCGCCGGACAAUGACCACAGUGCUGGACCCCAAGCGCAGCAACGCCAUCAACAUCGGCCUAACCACACUGCCACCUGUGCAUGUCAUUAAGGCUGCCCUGCUCAACUUUGAUGAGUUUGCUGUCAGCAAGGAUGGCAUUGAGAAGCUACUGACCAUGAUGCCCACGGAGGAAGAGCAGCAGAAGAUUGAGGAAGCCCAGCUGGCCAACCCUGACAUACCCUUGGGCCCAGCCGAGAACUUCCUGAUGAUUCUUGCCUCCAUUGGCGGCCUCGCUGCUCGUCUACAACUCUGGGCCUUCAAGCUGGACUAUGACAGCAUGGAACGGGAAAUUGCUGAGCCACUGUUUGACCUGAAAGUGGGUAUGGAACAGCUGGUACAGAAUGCCACCUUCCGCUGCAUCCUGGCUACCCUCCUAGCUGUGGGCAACUUCCUCAAUAGCUCCCAGGUGAGUGAGAGUACAUGGGGACUAGGGGGAGUCAGGGUUCUGGAGCCAACGAGGCCCAGGCUCAGAAAGGGUCCUUUCAGAGCAGCGGCUUUGAGCUGAGCUACCUGGAGAAGGUGUCAGAGGUGAAGGACACAGUGCGUCGACAGUCACUGCUACACCAUCUCUGCUCCCUAGUGCUCCAGACCCGGCCUGAGUCCUCCGACCUCUAUUCAGAAAUCCCUGCCCUGACCCGCUGUGCCAAGGUAGACUUUGAACAACUGACUGAGAACCUGGGGCAGCUGGAGCGCCGGAGCCGGGUAGCCGAGGAGAGCCUGCGGAGCUUGGCCAAGCAUGAGCUGGCCCCAGCCCUGCGUGCCCGCCUCACCCACUUCCUGGCCCAGUGUGCCCGCCGUGUUGCCAUGCUGAGGAUAGUGCACCGCCGUGUCUGCAAUAGGUUCCAUGCCUUCCUGCUCUACCUGGGCUACACCCCGCAGGCGGCCCGUGAAGUGCGCAUCACGCAGUUCUGCCACACGCUGCGGGAAUUUGCGCUUGAGUAUCGGACUUGCCGGGAACGAGUGCUACAGCAGCAGCAGAAGCGGGCCACAUACCGUGAGCGCAACAAGACCCGGGGACGCAUGAUCACCGAGACAGAGAAGUUCUCAGGUGUGGCUGGGGAAGCCCCCAGCAACCCCUCUGUCCCAGUAGCAGUGAGCAGCGGGCCAGGCCGGGGAGAUGCUGACAGUCAUGCUAGUAUGAAGAGUCUGCUGACCAGCAGGCCUGAGGACAGCACACACAAUCGCCGCAGCAGAGGUGAGGCCCAUAGCUGCUGUGGGGAAUGGGCUCCAGGGCCACCUUGGCCUAACUUUCCUAUCUGGCCUUCCUCAGGCAUGGUCCAGAGCAGCUCCCCAAUCAUGCCCACAGUGGGGCCCUCCACUGCAUCCCCAGAAGAACCCCCAGGCUCCAGUUUACCCAGUGAUACAUCAGAUGAGAUCAUGGACCUUCUGGUGCAGUCAGUGACCAAGAGCAGUCCUCGUGCCUUAGCUACUAGGGAACGCAAGCGUUCCCGUGGCAACCGCAAGUCUUGUAAGUAACGCCCCACAAUCCCACUGCCCACCUGAACCCCAUCAACCCCCUCCAACCCUGCUCUGUCCCUGCAGUGAGAAGGACGUUGAAGAGUGGGCUCGGAGAUGACCUGGUGCAGGCACUGGGACUGAGCAAGGGUCCUGGCCUGGAGGUGUGAAGGUGCUGUAUCCCGGAAAUCUAUCUGGACCCUGGACUGCAGUGCAGGAGAUGACAGAGUGAGGAGGGCCCAGAGCAGAAUUCUGGCCCCAGAACUCUGUGCCCAGGAGCCAUGCCUUGAGCAGUAUUAGCUGUGUGUGUGUGCAUGUGAGUGUGUAUGUGUGUGUGCGUGCAUAUGCAUGUGCAUGUGUGUGAGCUCCUUGAACUCACGGAGCAAAAUAAAAUUUUCUUAGCUAAUCC
rnacentral:sRNA from 1 species